rnacentral:tRNA from 1 species
UACACUUGAGUAUUUAUGUAUAAGAAUUUUUGAUAUUCUAGGUAAUAGAGGAAUCUAUUAGGUGUAU